rnacentral:rRNA from 1 species
GAUGAACGCUGACAGAAUGCUUAACACAUGCAAGUCAACUUGAACUUCGGUUUUUGUGGCGGACGGGUGAGUUACGCGUAAAGAACUUGCCUCUCAGCUAGGGACAACAUUUGGAAACGAAUGCUAAUACCUGAUAUUAUGAUUAUAUGGCAUCGUAUACUUAUGAGAGCUAUCUGCGAUGUGAGAGAGCUUUGCGUCCCAUUAGCUAGUUGGAGAGGUAACAGCUCUCCAAGGCGAUGAUGGGUAGCCGGCCUGAGAGGGUGAUCGGCCACAAAGGGAGUGAGACACGGCCCUUACUCAUACGGGGGGCAGCAGUGGGGAAUAUAGAACAAUGGACCGAGAGUCUGAUCCAGCAAUUCUGUGUGCACGAUGAUGUUUUUCGGAAUGUAAAGUGCUUUCAGUUGGGAAGAAAAAAAUGACGGUACCAACAGAAGAAGCGACGGCUAAAUACGUG